GUGGGGAAUAUUGGACAAUGGGGGGAACCCUGAUCCAGCCAUGCCGCGUGUGUGAAGAAGGCCUUUUGGUUGUAAAGCACUUUAAGCGAGGAGGAGGCUACCGAGAUUAAUACUCUUGGAUAGUGGACGUUACUCGCAGAAUAAGCACCGGCUAACUCUGUGCCAGCAGCCGCGGUAAUACAGAGGGUGCAAGCGUUAAUCGGAUUUACUGGGCGUAAAGCGCGCGUAGGUGGCCAAUUAAGUCAAAUGUGAAAUCCACGAGCUUAACUUGGGAAUUGCAUUCGAUACUGGUUGGCUAGAGUAUGGGAGAGGAUGGUAGAAUUCCAGGUGUAGCGGUGAAAUGCGUAGAGAUCUGGAGGAAUACCGAUGGCGAAGGCAGCCAUCUGGCCUAAUACUGACACUGAGGUGCGAAAGCAUGGGGAGCAAACAGGAUUAGAUACCCGAGUAGUCC
rnacentral:rRNA from 1 species